ACUCCUACGGGAGGCAGCAGUGGGGAAUAUUGCACAAUGGGCGCAAGCCUGAUGCAGCCAUGCCGCGUGUGUGAAGAAGGCCUUCGGGUUGUAAAGCACUUUCAGUUGUGAGGAAGGUGGUGUCGUUAAUAGCGGCAUUAUUUGACGUUAGCAACAGAAGAAGCACCGGCUAACUCCGUGCCAGCAGCCGCGGUAAUACGGAGGGUGCGAGCGUUAAUCGGAAUUACUGGGCGUAAAGCGUACGCAGGCGGUUUGUUAAGCGAGAUGUGAAAGCCCCGGGCUCAACCUGGGAACUGCAUUUCGAACUGGCAAACUAGAGUGUGAUAGAGGGUGGUAGAAUUUCAGGUGUAGCGGUGAAAUGCGUAGAGAUCUGAAGGAAUACCGAUGGCGAAGGCAGCCACCUGGGUCAACACUGACGCUCAUGUACGAAAGCGUGGGGAGCAAAACGGGAUUAGAUACCCUGGUAGCGAGUA
rnacentral:rRNA from 1 species